rnacentral:rRNA from 1 species
AGUGAACGCUGGCGGUAGACCUAACACAUGCAAGUCGAACGGCAGCACAGUAAGAGCUUGCUCUUACGGGUGGCGAGUGGCGGACGGGUGCGGAAUACAUCUGAAUCUACUUUUUCGUGGGGGAUAACGUGGGGAAACUUACGCUAAUACCGCAUACGACCUACGGGUGAAAGCAGGGGAUCUUCGGACCUUGCGCGAUUGAAUGAGCCGAUGUCGGAUUAGCUAGUUGGCGGGGUAAAGGCCCACCAAGGCGACGAUCCGUAGCUGGUCUGAGAGGAUGAUCAGCCACACUGGAACUGAGACACGGUCCAGACUCCUACGGGAGGCAGCAGUGGGGAAUAUUGGACAAUGGGCGCAAGCCUGAUCCAGCCAUACCGCGUGGGUGAAGAAGGUCUUCGGGUUGUAAAGCCCUUUUGUUGGGAAAGAAAAGCAGCAGGUUAAUACCCCGCUGUUCUGACGGUACCCAAAGAAUAAGCACCGGCUAACUUCGUG